rnacentral:rRNA from 1 species
CAGUCGAACGGAGUUACGAUGAAACCUAGUGAUUCGUAGCUUAGUGGCGGACGGGUGAGUAACGCGUGGAUAACCUGCCUUGCACUGGGGGAUAACACUUAGAAAUAGGUGCUAAUACCGCAUAAGCGCACGGAGCCGCAUGGCUCAGUGUGAAAAACUCCGGUGGUGUAAGAUGGAUCCGCGUCUGAUUAGCUGGUUGGCGGGGUAGAAGCCCACCAAGGCGACGAUCAGUAGCCGGCCUGAGAGGGUGAACGGCCACAUUGGGACUGAGACACGGCCCAAACUCCUACGGGAGGCAGCAGUGGGGAAUAUUGCACAAUGGGGGAAACCCUGAUGCAGCAACGCCGCGUGAGUGAAGAAGUCAUUCGUGAUGUAAAGCUCUAUCAGCAGGGAAGAAAAUGACGGUACCUGAGUAAGAAGCCCCGGCUAACUACGUGCCAGCAGCCGCGGUAAUACGUAGGGGGCAAGCGUUAUCCGGAUUUACUGGGUGUAAAGGGAGCGUAGACGGCCAGACAAGUCUGAAGUGAAAAUCCAGCGCUUAACGUUGGAAGUGCUUUGGAAACUGCCGGGCUAGAGUGCAGGAGGGGCAGGCGGAAUUCCUAGUGUAGCGGUGAAAUGCGUAGAUAUUAGGAGGAACACCAGUGGCGAAGGCGGCCUGCUGGACUGCAACUGACGUUGAGGCUCGAAGGCGUGGGGAGCAAACAGGAUUAGAUACCCUGGUAGUCCACGCGGUAAACGAUGAUUACUAGGUGUCGGGGGGCUAGAGCCCUUCG